rnacentral:lncRNA from 10 species
GUAAAGUUCAGAUUUCAAUUCCUCUGAUCCUGGGCUUUUUUGGGUUGGUAGACUACUUAUUACUGUCUCAAUUUCAGAACUUGUUAUUGAUCUGUUCAGAGAUUCAAUUUCUUCCUGGUUCAAUCUUGAAAGGGUGUUAUUUGUCCAGGAAUUUAUCCAUUUCUUCCAGUUUUUUUUUUUUUUUUAGUUUAUAAGUAUAGAGGUGUUCAUAAUAUCCUCUGGUGGUUGUUUGUAUUUCCGUGAGGUCAGUGGUAAUAUCCCUUUUGUCAUUUCUGAUUGUAUUUGAACCUUCUUUUUUUUUCUUUAUUUGUCUAGCUAGUUAUCUAUCUAUUUCAUUAAUUUUUUUUUUCAAAAAACAAGCUCCUGGAUUCACUGAUGUUUUGAAUAGUUUUUUGCAUCUCUAUCUCCUUCAGUUCAGCUCUGAUUUUGGUUACUUUUUUGUCUUCUGCUAGCUUUGGGUUUUGUUUGCUCUUGCUUCUCUAGUUCUUUUAGUUGUGAUGUUAGGUUGUUUGAGAUCCUUUUACAUUUUGAUGUGGACAUUUAAUGCUAUAAAUUUCCCUGUUAACACCGCCUUAGCUGUGUCCCAGAGAUUCUGGUAUUUUUUUUUCUUUGUUCUGAUUGAUAAAUUACAAAGAACUUCUUGAUUUCUGCCUUAAUUUCAUUAUUUCCCCCAAAGUCAUUCAGGAGUAGGUUGUUCAAUUUCCAUGUAAUUGUGUGGUUUUGAGUGAAUUUCUUAGUCUUGAUUUCUAAUUUGAUUGUGCUGUGGUCUGAGAGAGUAGUUGUUAUGAUUUUAGUUCUUUUGCAUUUGCUAAGGAAUGUUUUGCUUCUGAUUAUGUGAUUGGUAUUAGAGUAAGUGCCAUGUGGUGAUGAGAAGAAUGAAUGUGAUAUGGUUUGGCUGUGUCCCCAUCCAAAUCUCAUCUUGAAUUGUAGUUCCCAUAAUCUCCAUGUGUCAUGGGAGGGACCUAGUAGGAGGUAAUUGAAUCAUUGGGGUGGUUACCCCCAUGCUGCUCUUCUUGUGAUAGUGAGUAAGUUCUCACGAGAUCUCAUGGUUUUAUAAGGGGCUUUUCCUCCUUUUGCUCAAUGCUUCUCCUUGCUGCAAUGUGAAGAAGGACAUGUUUGCUUCCAUUUCCAUCAUGAUUAGCUCAGUGAGCCAGAAACUCCAUUCCAGACUGAUGCAGCCAAAAAUGGAGGAAUUCUUCUGCCUCCAGCUUUUAGUCACGGGACUACCCUCCCAGGAAGCAUGGGCAGGAUGUUGACAUUCCUCAUCCAGUCCCCAGCUACCUGUUGCUAAAUUCUGGGAUGGCAACUUCAUGCUGGGAGAGGCAAGCAGAAGAUCUGAGUCUUCUCCUGGAACUGAGCACCCAGUCUUAAACUGGGAGUGUCGCUCAGGGAUAAGUGUGACGUUGUCCCCAUUUUCAACUCCAAAGCCAUGGCUCAAGGAUUUUUCUUGGGAAGAGGAGGCUAUAAACAGAGUGCUCCAAAUAUCGUCCCAAAGAAAUUGAUUUAAUUUGCAACAGAGUGUGGAAAAGUUCAAAUCUAAAAGUGUUACUGUGGACUGAAUUUAGUCCCACCCAAAUUUACAAGAUGAAGCUCUAACCCCCAACGUGAUGGCACUUGGAGAUGGAGCCUUUGAGAGAUACUUAGGUUUAGACAAGGUCACUGGGGGGGGGCUCUCAUUAUGAGAUUUAUAAGAAGAGACACAGGAGCUUAUCUGCUUUCUCUCUCUCUCUCUCUUUCUGCCAGCCACAUGAAGACACAGCAAAAAAGCAAUCAUCUCCAAGCCAGAAAGAGAACCUUUCCAGAAACGUAUCAUGCUGGCCUCUUGACAUUAUAUAUAACAGAAAUGUAUUGCACAGUUUUGGUGACUGGGAAGUCCAAGAUAGAGGCACAGGCAGAUUUGUUCUCUGGUGAAGACCCACUUCCUGGUUCAUAGAUGGCAGUUCUAUGCCGUACCUUCGUAUAAUGGAUGUGGACAAAAGAACUCUUGGGACCUCUUUUAUAAAGUCAUUCAUCCCAUUCAUGAAGAUUCCACUCUCAUGACCUAAUCACAUCCCAUAGGCCCCAGCUCUUAAUAACAUCACAUUGGAUAUUGGAUUUUAACAUAUGAAUUUUGGGGGGGAGUCACAACCAUUGUCUAUAGCACCAACUUCAGAUAAUUGUUAAAAAUCACUUCUUCAUUGUGGUUUUCUUCCCCUUGUGUUUAUUGUUGUGCAUUUUUGUCAUUUAGGAGGCUAUAAAAACAGCUUGUUUGCUGGAGCUUUGCACAUCAUUGCUUCAUUCAAAAGAGAAUCUCAGAAAAUUACUGUGAUGUCUAUAAUCUAACAAAGAGAAUCAUGGAUGCACUAAGUAUAUACUGUGAAUUUAACUCAGAUGCUCAUGAACAAAUGGUUUCUUUAUACUUGUAUAUCAGCUCCUCUAUAUUAAAGAUGUAGCUAAUUAAACAUAUGUUUAUUUUUUAUGAUUAUUUUAGACAUUUUUCUUCUUGAGUUUUGCUUGUUCUUUGUUGCUAACCAAAUUGUUUGAAAAUUCUUAGGAAAAUUACUUAUACCUACAAAUUACGUAUGAUGUCUAAUUUAAACUCUAAACAGACUCUAUUUCUCAUGUUACAUAGUGGAGAAGGUAUAACUCCAUAUGGUUAAUUGUUAUUUUGAACCUGAAGUCUUAACUUGGUUAACUAUAUCACCACAGAGUAGAUAUUCAUCAAUCUCAUGAGCAUAAACCAGUAAUUACUAUUUUAAGUAUGAACAUAUUCUUAGUUUCAGGCAUUUUUGUAUUAAUUAGCUAACCAGUUGUUUUGGCUUCUGAUACAUCUGUUAGUGGGGAAUUUUUUUUAAUUCAAUACUUAAAUGGAUUAAAGCCUGCAUGUGAUUGAGAGAUGUGGAAAUAUUCCUGCAUAUACACCACAUAUGUGCAGAAUUUAAAGGUUAAACAUUUCUAUCUCCUAUUAAAAUGUUAUGUAAUUAAAUGCUGAAAUUUAAAAAGCUGAUUUUUGUUUAAAAUACACAUGUUCUAAAUUUAGAAAUUCUAAAAUAAAAUGUUACUACCUCAUUAGUAUUUUUCAAUUUAAAUUAAUUUUUUGGUGCUUUUUAGCUUUUAGGUUCAGGGAUACAUGUUUAAGUUUGUUACAUAUGUGACUUUCAAACUCUAACUUCAGGAAGUCAUUACUUCCAGUAGGUUAUGUUCUGGUCAUUCAUUCCUCUAUCACUAUUACCACCCACAGAGCUCAUAUGAGCUAUGCUGGCCCUCAACAUUUCUGAUGGAAGAGAAUAAAUACAUGGUUUUGUUGCUCUCUUUUACAAAAUCAAAUGUUACUUUACACUAGACCAAUGUUUCCUAAGCCUAACUGUGUACCACAAAGCACACUUGGAGAGAUUUUUAGUUUGUUUCGUUUGUUUGUUAACUGUAAAUUUCCAGAUUCUAUUUCAAAUCUAAUGAAAAGGAAUCUCUAUAUGUGGAAUUCAGGGAGAUAUAUAUAUAUAUAUUUUUUUUAAGCAUGUCUUCUAGUGUUUCUAAUGCCACCUUGAAACCACAGAAUCAUUUGAGGAAACCAAUGUAAUUGACAUUUAUUACACUCCUCCACAUCAGUAUGAAGGGCAUGAGAGCCUAGGUUUUGUAGUGUUCACCACUGAAUUCCCAGUAUAAAACAUAGUAUCUGAUAGGUCUUAGUCCUUUAUUAAACAUUAGAAUGAGAAAAUAAAUGAGUUUAUGAAUUUAAUGUCUGUAUCACUAUAAUGCAAGUGGAAGGAACAGGGAACCAGAAAAGACCUCAGCCUAAGAACAAAGGAAGACAACUUAGUGACAAUUACCCUGUUAUCAAUAGAAGAAUAAUGCCUUAAGGAUCUGUCAGGACCAUUUGUAGUUGGAAAUCUGAUUUCAGGAGGCUAUAAUAGCAGCUUGUGUCCUGGAGCUUUUCACAUCAUUGCUUUAUUCAAGAGAGAAUCAUAGAAACCUACUGUGAUGUCAGUAAUCUAGCAAAGAGAAUCAUGGCUGCACUAAGUAUAUACUGUGAAUUUAACUUAGAUGUUCAUGAAUGAAUGGUUUCUUUAUACUUGUAUAUUAAAGAUGUAGCUAGUUAAACAUAUGUUUUUAUGUCUAAACCUAAACCUAUCAUACACAUAAUGUAUGAUGUCUAAUUUAAACCCUAAACAGAUUCUAUUUCUCAUGUAACACAGUAGAUACUACUGUAUUCUCUGAUGAUUCAGUGAUUGUUGUACAAAAUGAUUUUUAAACUCACACAUGUUCCCUAAACCAUAUCAAGCAGGGUUGAUUGAUUGUAUACCAAUCAGCAUCAUCUUUUUUUUUAUUGUGUUCAGAAAUGGCAGCAUAGGUAUUAAAAGCUUAUUAACAUCCUUACAGGUUGGCUGCAAAACACGCGAUCAGUGUCAGCUGUGGCCUGUAUAGUCACAAAGGUUUUCUGUUCUUGUUAAAAAUUGUACUUUCUGAAGCUUUUAAGAAAAUUAUAUUUUGUAGUUUCUUUUUGGGGGGGCUGGGGGGCAUACAAGGAAACAAAACCUCAAUUCAUGAGCCUUUUAAACAUAGUCGUGUUUGUCUCCCUCACAGAUGUUUUUAUGUUUCUAUUUUUUAUAUAUUCUUUUUUAACCAUUCAAUAGAAUCAGAUGAUUCAGUCUUCCUCACCAGCCCAUUAUUAUUAGUCCAUUUUUCUACAGAUCUUCUCUAUAAGAUAUACAGAUGUACCGUAUGAACUCAUUUCUUCCCUCUCUUUCUGCUUUUGAAAUUGAUCUCUCCAUUAUUCUAAGUGGGUUUUGAUAAUAUUCUCUUCAUGCAAUAAUUCCAAACAUAUUCUUGACAUACCUCCUUUGCCCUGAAUACCCAUAAGCAUCAUUACUCAAAAUAGGGAGGAUAGAGCUGUGAGUGGUGACAUGGCCUGGAUAGGCUAUAUGUGCCUUUAAUAUAAAUUCAAUAAUUUAGAACAAUAGUUUUCAGAAAAAAGUGUUGAUUUUGGUUUUGACUACAGUAAUAUGAGCAUGCAAACAAAUUUGGCUAUUGAAUGAUACAAAUUAUUAAAUAUUUUCCUGCUUUAUGAUUUAGCAGAUUUGUAUGUGUGUGUGCUUAACUUUGCCUUGUAAUUUGUUAGCUAGUAAUUAAAUAAGAGCCAGUUUGUCAAAAACAGAAAUGAUGAAAUUAAAUUGCAUUAUAAAUUAAAGCAUACAUUCCCCUCCUUUGUUUCAAGCUUCAAAAGCUUGUGUAGGCUCAAGUCCUGUGGCCUUAACUACAUAUUUGGAUCUUUACCUGGGUCUUCAAAGUCCAUAUGCCAGUAAUUGAAUGUAACCUAUUUCCAUGCUCCCAUUCCCAAAUUAUCUCCUUUCUUCUACCCAUCUAAGACUAUAUAUGUUAUCCUCAAGAAAUAGAAGUGAAGAUCAGACAUUGGCCCUCACUAUAUUGUGAGUGUGCUGAGGUAGAGCCUCCUUAUUCAAGGACAGCCUAAACAGAUACCUCAGAGUUACCAGGCGUAACUGAAAUACAAUUGAAAAAAUACUAUGGUAUUCUAGGUUUAUACUAUUUCUUUUACAACCUGAGUUAAUACCAUCUCAUAUAGAAACAAACAUUGAAAAUGUUCUAGAGAAAACUAUCCUACUGAUAAAAGUGCACACAAUUAUUACUGAGCCCUAUAGCCAUGCCAAACAAAGUUAAUUUAAAAAAAUGGAAGAUUAACUUAUAAAUUCCAAGAGGAAAGCGCCUGAAAGCCACUGACGUAGCCGGCGGAGGACCA